rnacentral:rRNA from 1 species
CCUACGGGAGGCAGCAGUGAGGAAUAUUGGUCAAUGGUCGGGAGACUGAACCAGCCAAGCCGCGUGAGGGAUGAAGGUACAGAGUAUCGUAAACCUCUUUUGUCAGGGAACAAAGGCGGGGACGUGUCCCCGGAUGAGUGUACCUGAAGAAAAAGCAUCGGCUAACGCCGUGCCAGCAGCCGCGGUAAUACGGUGGAUGCGAGCGUUAUCCGGCUUUAUUGGGUUUAAAGGGUGCUCAGGCGGUCUGUUAAGUCAGCGGUCAAAGCCCGGGGCUCAACCCCGGCCCGCCGGUGACACUGGAAGUCUGGAGUUGGAGAGAAGUAUGCGGAAUGCGCGGUGUAGCGGUGAAAUGCAUAGAUAUCGCGCAGAACUCCGAUUGCGAAGGCAGCAUGCCGGCUCCACACUGACGCUGAGGCACGAAAGCGUGGGUAUCGAACAGGAUUAGAUACCCCAGUAGUC